rnacentral:rRNA from 1 species
CCUACGGGGGGCAGCAGUGGGGAAUAUUGGACAAUGGGCGAAAGCCUGAUCCAGCCAUGCCGCGUGUGUGAAGAAGGCCUUCGGGUUGUAAAGCACUUUCAGUGGGGAAGAAAGCCUUGGGGCUAAUACCCUCGAGGAAGGACAUCACCCACAGAAGAAGCACCGGCUAACUCCGUGCCAGCAGCCGCGGUAAUACGGAGGGUGCGAGCGUUAAUCGGAAUUACUGGGCGUAAAGCGCGCGUAGGCGGUCUGAUAAGCCGGUUGUGAAAGCCCCGGGCUCAACCUGGGAACGGCAUCCGGAACUGUCAGGCUAGAGUGCAGGAGAGGAAGGUAGAAUUCCCGGUGUAGCGGUGAAAUGCGUAGAGAUCGGGAGGAAUACCAGUGGCGAAGGCGGCCUUCUGGACUGACACUGACGCUGAGGUGCGAAAGCGUGGGUAGCAAACAGGAUUAGCUACCCCAGUAGUC